CUGCUGUGUAUUGCUAGCCUGUAGCGUUCCCUAGUUCCUGUGUUACCAUGUCCCUGCCCAUGUUUCCUAGUUCCUUGUUUUCUUGCCUUACCUUGCCUUAGUGUUCUUUGACCCUGGACUGCUUACCUGGUUUUUUAUGAUUGUUUGCUCCCUGACAUGACCUUUGUCUGUUCUGUGGAUUACUCUUUUACCUCUGCUACUCUUUUAAAUAAAGCCUGCAUUUGGAUCCACUACUGUGUUGUCACGCCUUCCCAUGUUACAGAAUACUCAGCUACACUCGGAUCCAGCAGCUUUAUGAGUGCAUCCAGGCCAGCCAGGAAUCCAGCAGCAAAAAUAAUUGGUCUCUGUCAAGGUGAGCGGUCUAUUGAGGAUUAUGUGUUGGACAUUAUUGACCAGUCCAUUUAACAUCUAUGGAUGAGAUAUGCCUCAUGAUAUUUUUCUGAGGAGGCCUAGUUGAGCCGCUGCAAUCAAUUAUGCCACUGCACAAUCCGAACUGUAUUCUGGACUCUCAUAUCGAUCUGGUACUCCAACUGAGUGGCUCUGCAUUUACUGUGGGUGUUUUUGAGGAGGAACACGACUUGCCAGCAGUAUCUCCCACUCCUGAGUCUUGUCCCAUCAUGGCCACCAGCCCAGAGCCUAUCCACAAGAGCCUCCAGCCUUCAUUGUACACGUCACGUUUGAAGACACCCAGGCAUUUCCCAGGCGUUUGAGGCUGGCUUCCAAUCUUAUGGACCCACCAUUGAUGUCGGUGCGAGGAACAGGCAUCCCAAGGGCCUCAGAACUGGUUGUCACAGAGACUGUUCCCAUAGGCUCAGUGCUCCCAGUAAUGGCGGUCGCAAUCCUGUGUGUUUGGGCUACUAAUUGCUCUGAUAUUCAUCCUGAGCCCACUGUAGUCCCCGAAUCCAUCCCAGAGCUCUUCUCAUGAGAGUGGUGGCCACUUCUGAACUCUUUGUAUGUCCUGUUAUGGAUAAGAAGGCAGUUUCUGAACUCUCUACCUGUCCUGUUAUGGCUUAGGAGGCUGUUUAUGAACUCUCUGUCUGUCCUGUCAUGGCCAAGGAGGCCAUUUGUGAACUCUCUUGUGUGUCCUGUUAUGGCCAAAGAGGCCGUCUGAACUCUCUGCCUGUCCUGUUACGGCCAUAGAGGCCGUUGUUAACCUCUCUGUAUUCUCUGUUCCAGUUAUGUCUGAUCAGACUUGGUUGUCCCUGGAAUGAAAAUGUUGCUUUGUCACUAACAUGAAUAAAUUACAUUUUAAAGUAUAUUACAAUAGAAAAAAAUAUUACAGGGCUUAAAUUGUAAUAAUAUUUCAUAAUAUUUCUGUUACUGUAUGUUUGAUCAAAUAAAUGCAGCCUUGAUGAGCAUAAGUGACAUCUUUCAAAAAACUUCUAAAAAUCUUACCGACCCUAAGCUUUUGAAUGGUAGUAUAGCUGAUAAAAUAAUUUUACAUAAU
ensembl:lncRNA